rnacentral:rRNA from 1 species
GACAGAGGAUGCAAGCGUUAUCCGGAAUGAUUGGGCGUAAAGCGUCUGUAGGUGGUUUGUUAAGUCUGCUGUUAAAGUCUAGGGCUUAACCCUGGGAAAGCAGUGGAUACUACCAAGCUUGAGUACGGUAGGGGUAAAGGGAAUUUCCGGUGGAGCGGUGAAAUGCGUAGAUAUCGGAAAGAACACCGAGGGCGAAAGCACUUUACUGGGCCGAUACUGACACUGAGAGACGAAAGCUAAGGGAGCAAAUGGG